GUAUUUGUGUGCUCUUACCAUGAGGGCAUAAGUGAGUCCCAGCCCCACCAGCCCAGUGGACAGAUGACUGAACAGCGAGUUGGUGAUGGAGGCCACAGCUGCUAUCAGGACUAUACAGGCCCCAAUGUACUCCUGUAGAGAUGGUGGUGCAGAUCUUUGGCCACCCCCAGGCCUGUCCACUCCACAGCCACUGAUGUGACCAGACACAGGACGAUCCCCAGACAGCACAGAACGCUGAACACCAGCAGGGAGCAGUUGUGUGCGACUGCCUCAUUCUUGGCCGUGAUGACUUUGGACGUCCAGUGUGCGAGCCAGUAGUCGAUGGCCACCAUGAGGGAGUGUUUGAGGAGCUGGGACAGCAGGAGCAGGAGGAGCAGCAGGAGGCCAGCAGAGCUCAGAAGAAAAAAAUCAUUCACAUCUGGGAUGGCAUGAGGCAAUCAACACUCUGGCUCUAAACAUACCCAUCUGCUCAUGGAUCCUGGACUUCCUGACAGGUGGUGAGGGUGGGCAGCCAAACAUCUUGACAUAGAUACCUCACACCAACAGCUUGGUCAGUUUUCAAGGCCUCUCUGGAGUACAUGGCUCGCCUCAAGUUUUUUCUUUCCAGCACUGUCAUAUUAUCAUCUACUGUCUCCUGAAACACAACGUGAUGGAGUACUGAAUAUGGGUCAUUGACAAAUAAGGUUGUCCGAGAUGAUCAAAAUUAGAAAUAUUUGAAAAAGAAUAGCCAAGUUUGUAUAAAUGCACGGAGCCCCUCGCAAUAAAUUUGUGUGCCCUCGCAAUAAAUUUACCAUGGUUUUCCUAUAGAAACCAUAUUUUAACCUUGAUAUAUACAGUAAAACCAUAGUAAAUACAGAAAAACCACAUGAAUUACCUUGAUUAAUCUAGAGUAAAACCAUGGUUACUAUAUGAAUAAAGUAUACUGUGUUAAUAUAAUGGUUUCCGGCAAAAAACUUGGUUACUACGGUCUACAAUAUUACUAUAGUAAAACCAGUUAAACUAUGACAUUUGUAUAGUAAAACCAUAAUAACCACAAAAUUAUGAUUUUAUUUACCAUCGUUUCUGUAGUAAAACCAUGGUAAUUUUUUGGCGAGGGAACGUAAAACUUAUUGUAGGGGAAUGCAAGCUAUUGCGAAGGCAUGCAAAACAAUGUCCUUGUCCUCUAAGGGGCUCUGUAUUAAUGUAAUCCUUGUCUUCAUAUUGAUUUUCUACAUUUUUGAAAAACAUUUAUAGCAUUUUCAAAAAAAAAAAAAAAAAUACAUUUAAUGACUUGUCAAGUGGUGUUAACUUAAUUACACUUAACACUUCAAUUUAAUUUAUUAAAUAAAAUUAUUGUAAGGUAGUGUAACCAUCAAGCUUUAUUUACUCCUUGGAUACACUUGAGUGUACUCAACUAAAUAAUUAUUUUUAAAGAUAAAUAAAAUAAAAUUUUUCUUUUCUUUUUUAUGUUGUUUUUUUUCACAAAUAGCAUAAAUUUUUGAGUCAUAUCAAGGAUUCAAGAGUCAUUCCUGAGGUAGCACAUUUGACAUGAACAAAAUGUGCUUCUUUUAAUGGUCACAUGACAACAAAAUGGCAACCUGAACUUUGAUUUUGUGGACAGAAGUAUAAUAAUAAUAUUUUAAACAAUAAUAUAUAUAUAUAUAUAAUUUUUAAUAUACAAAAAUGCUUCCCUGCUUAUUUCAAUAAUAAUAAUAAUCUAGCAUUUAAAAGCACACUGAACAAAAUAAAUGGGUCAUCUCAGCUCAAUGCAAGAACAUCUCUUGCAACUUUCUGAAGAUCUAAGCCUAUAAUGAAGGAUUCAUCUGAGAGCAUCAGAUGUCAGGGUACUUGUACAAGUAGGCCAGUGCCUUUGAGUUUACUUUGGUUCACUGAAAGCCAGUGUAAAGACCUGAUUGUUAGUUUUG